AAGAAAGUGGUCAUUUACAGGUAUUAACAUUGGCACAAGAGAACGCAAACCGUUAAAAGUGUUACUGCUAACAAUUCAUGGAGUUCUAAUUUAUUUGGCAACCAUGUGAUGGAACCAAGGUCAUCUCUCAUACACAAGAUUAUAUAUCGGUGGAACUAAGCCAGUACGAGCAAUAGUAUAUAUCUAUAUACAAUUUAUUGUUCAUACAACUUUCACGCAACUUACAGAAUACAGCACUUCAGCACAAGCCCUUUUUGAUCCAUCCUCGUUUCUUCAUUUCCUUCAGGAGGCUGCGCGAGCUUCCGAUUUUGUGGUGACAUCAUUUCUUUCUUCAAUUGAGUCAAUAUGUCCUCCAUUGUGCACUCUCUCUGCCAAUUAGCAAGCAUAGGGAAAAGACUAGGUUCCACCACUCCACUUUCAGGAUUGACACAAGUCAUGUUUAUCCGUGUUUGGAACCUUACACUUGGAGGAUUAUCUGGAUAAUCCUUUCCACAAAACAAUUUCAACUGGUAAAUACGACCUUCAUGAACAGUAUUUGGGGGCCCAAUUAUAGUUCCUGUCCAUGAUUGCAUG
rnacentral:misc_RNA from 1 species